rnacentral:misc_RNA from 1 species
CCCCACAAGAAACAAUUUUUGCACACCUACUUUCCAAACAUGGAGCAUCCAAUUGCGUUGGUUGAGUCUGGAGCUCAGCCAGGUCAGCUCCAGUUCCCAAUUGUCCAAACUGAUUCCCACCAAAGGCAUAUACAUGGCCAUUGGCGGUGAUACAAAUGGUAUGCCAUAGUCCAGCAGCAACACUUUCCACUUUAAUUCCCGAUAAAGUAGGUACACAAGCAGGCCUCAGCUGAUCAUUUGUGCUUACUUGCCCACACUGUCCAUAGAGUCCCCAU